UAGGGAAUCUUCCACAAUGGACGAAAGUCUGAUGGAGCAACGCCGCGUGAGUGAAGAAGGGUUUCGGCUCGUAAAGCUCUGUUGGUAGUGAAGAAAGAUAGAGGUAGUAACUGGCCUUUAUUUGACGGUAAUUACUUAGAGAGUCACGGCUAACUACGUGCC
rnacentral:rRNA from 1 species